rnacentral:rRNA from 13 species
AGAUGCUGGCAGAAGGCCUUCAAUUCGCCCGUCUUGUAACACGGACCAAGGAGUCUAACAUCUAUGCGAGUGUUUGGGUGUCAAACCCGGAACGCGGAAUGAAAGUGAACGGAGGUAGGAAGCUUCGGCUGCACUAUCGACCGAUCCUGAUGUCUUCGGAUGGAUUUGAGUAAGAGCAUAGCUGUUGGGACCCGAAAGAUGGUGAACUAUGCCUGAGCAGGGCGAAGCCAGAGGAAACUCUGGUGGAGGCUCGUAGAUGUGCUGACGUGCAAAUCGCUUUUCGGACUUGGGUAUAGGGGCGAAAGACUAAUCGAACCA